rnacentral:lncRNA from 1 species
CAUUAAUGAAUCUUGUUUGAAACAAAGGUCACAAGUAAAAAAUUCUGCAAGACUUGCAAAUUUAGUUACCCGGCUUUGUUUGAAUAAUCAUAACCAGAUAGGUUGGCAGCUUUCUCCAAAGCAUCCCUCCACUCAAGCACCUUGUCCAUACAGUCCUUGAAACGUUCUUCAAGCUUGGCAAAUGCAUCUGCAUAACUCCCCUGUUGUUUUCGUACAUCCUGUGGACUGAUGUCGUAAAAAACGGGUAUAACAAACUGUCCAUCCCUUUCCUUGCAUCCUUUUAUAUGCACGAGUUCAUCCAGACACCAUGUGGAAGAAGCGUAGUUUUUUGAGAAAAUGAUCACCGAAAGCUUUGAUUUCUCAAUAGCUUCCAGAAGGGCAGGUCCGAUUUCAUCCCCUCUCUCAAGUUUGUAAUCUAUGUAGGUGUCAAGUUUCUUUCGAAGUAAAGCAGCAUGAAGGUGGCUGGUGAAAGUGUUGCGGGUGUCCUCACCUCUGAAACUAAGAAACACAUCAUACUUUCUUGAAGGUGACGAGAUAGCAGCAGCAGAGGAAGAGGAAGAAGCCAUACUAAUAACCUGGAAACCCCACUAUUUAUAUUUCACAACCUGCAAUCCAACCAUAUAUAUUUUUCAUAACCUGCAAAUCCAUCCGGAUCUAUUUCAUGACAUUUACACACAUAUGUAUAUUCAUAAGGGGUCCGUUUAACUAUGACAAAAUAUGAAAUUAUUUAUUUAAUUAAGCCAAAAUCCCCUAUAUACAACUGACAUACAUCUCAAUUAGUUUAGAACAUUUACCCUUGAACGCACCUGAGGUCACUGAAUUCGAAUCUCCUUCCCCAACAUAAUCACUUCUAUCAACAAAAAAAACAAAAUCAACUUUUCUAUCUGGGUGGGCUUCAAAAACAUUCUGAAGGACCAAAAAGUCACCACAAAUUAACAGUCGCUUCACAAUAUAAUAAGAAAUGUAAGAGAAGACUAUAAUUAUGUGGUAAUUAAUUCUCCAAGUGUAAUUAAGUCAGUGAGAGUACCUCUGAAUCGAGAAAGAAAUUGAUUAGGAAAUAUUAAGAUCUAGAGAGAUCGAAUAUGAAGACUGGUCAAGUUGAAGCUUUUCCAGAACCCUGACGAAAAUAAUCCAGCGCAAGAGAGAAAUAUAGAAAGAAACAAGUUGGAAGAGAGAUCAUGUUGUUUCUAACGACUUGUGUGGGUUGUUGACUUGCGCAGGUGUUGGACAAGUCUAACCAUGCAUACGAAUUUUUCUUCUUUUUUUUUUUGGUAAAAUCCUUUCCGUAGAAAGGAACAAAAUUUUAUUCCAGCAUUAAUUUACAACAAAGGCCCAUUCAUUAAUUUACAAACCAAAGGCCCAUAUAUACAUAAACAAAACAAACAGAGGCCACCCAAGCUAACCUAAAAGAGCCCAACCAAGGGAGAAAGUAGUAAUCAUUGUGUAAUCCAGAAGAUGAAAAUACGGAGAAUCUGUAUAUCAUGGUUAAAUAUGAGAAAUAAGUUUUGACAUUCCAAAAGAUGGCUGCAUAUUCAUUUCGGAACUUCACAGCCUUUCUUCUUAGUUAAAUGAAUUAACCAAGAUUGGUUUUUUCUUUAUUAUUUGGUCCAUUUGGUAAUUGUUGAGUGACUAAGUAUUACUUACCAAUUGCAAUGGAUCAUUGCGCUUUCAAUUACUGGAGGUCUGAAUGCUGUUGUGAUGUGCCGAUAUCUCUAUAAUCAUCAGGUAAGAUUGUUUUUCAUGAAAUUAAUGCUUUUUAAGAAAGCUUUAAUUUUGGUAUAAAAAAAAUGAAUAAAUUCACUGAUGAAUUGUUUUUGCAGAAUGAAGAUGGGGAAUGGGCUCUCUGCAUAUGGAGGGCCAAGUACCAUGUUUGUAAAAUUAUUUGGUUCUUUGUUGAACACAAUUUUAAAAUCCAAGGAAAGAAACACUGUUCAUUAUCAGUGCACGAGCGGAAAUACCCUUUGCUUCCUUUGUGUUCUGAUUCUUUCUGACCAUUUUACCCUUUCACUAACAGUGCACGGGCGGUGCUGUUUUGCUUUGUGUCUCUUUCUCUUCUCAUUUUCAUUGCUUUUCUUUGGCCACGCGUCCACCAUUCUCUUGCCACGUGUCGAUCAUCCUGUAAUGGUUCGCUUCGGAUCUCUGGAAUUUUCUUUCGGUUUCCAUUUCCUUGGUUCGAUUAUACUUCUUGGUUUUAUUUCGGUUUCUGCUCCUCUUUGGCAAAACUUUCUGCUUCUCUAUGGUUCCUGGUGAGAUUUACCACUUUCUUGAUUUUAUUCUUAUGUUAUUUUUGGGUUUUGUUUAUAGCCUCCGAUUCUACAUGUGGCUAUUUAAUUUUGUUUAGUUUUCAGUGUCAGGGCACUGUAGCUUAUUGUUUUUCUUGAGCUUUCUUUUCAGCGUUUGAAGGCUUCUGUGCUGAGGCUCAAUGAUAACAGUGGUGAGUUUCUUUUGCAGAGACUCGUUCUUCCCAGUAAUCAAGCUUUAUUGAGUGAUUUAUCUGCUUAAUUUGGGGUUGGGGUUGGUUUUUUUCUGUCUCACCAAGCACUUAAUUUCCUCCGCUUCAUGCAUACUGCAAAGUCCCCACGAAUUUGUUGUUGACCCAUCUGGGUUGAUCAUGUCUUCACUGGUCAUGAUUGCAGUUUUGUCAAGGAUUCUGAAAUUUAGUAAAUUGCAACUUUUUGGUGAGCGAAACAUAUGUCAAUUAUUUAGGUCUGUUAGGGUUUUUGGGCUGGUUUUUUUAUUGCCGAGUUUUAUACAACAUAGAUAGUGAAGCUAGAGGUAAUUGAGGAAUAUUUUGUGGUGUGGUAGAUAUUUCUCAGCAAAAUUGAGAGAGUAGUUAUAUUUUAUUUAAAUAUUUGUAUAGUUUUUGGAAGAGGUUAAGUCUAUGGUACUCAAGAUCUUCAGAGACCGAUGAGAAUUACCAAUCUGCUACUACUCUAAACCUUCUCAGGGUGUUCGUCACCGAAGUUACGCAGCUAUGCCGAGGGUCACGUAGUGGAACUUGAUUUCACAGAUCACAGUGAACAGGGUGAUAGGUAUAUUUCCUCACUUUUACCAUUUUUAGAACUUAGAUUAGUGAUAAAUUAAUUCGAAUCAUGUGGCAUGAACUUAAAGCUCUGUUUGGGAAAGUGGGCUCUUUACCCUAAAGUUGCUUGCUUUUGGUAAUAUUUGGAAUUGUGCUUCUAAGCUGUUUUUCAAGCUUUUGGCCAUACUAAAUGGAGCUAAAUUGAACAACUCUUUUGUUGUAUUGUAUUUUCUUUCCUAAAUCGAUUGUUUUUUUGUUGAAAAAUGUGAAUGGGUUUUGUAGAUCAAAGUUUUUAAGGGCGAAAAUUAUGUUUCAAAUUUUAGAUAUGAAUAUUACACAUUCUAGGUGUUGAAUUCAUAUUUGUUUUGGUGUAUUGUGUUUUUGAAUGUCAUUUAGUGCAGUAUAGCCUUAACUUAAAUGUAGUUUUGUGUAUCUUAAGUACUCAUUUGGAUUUUGAGAAGUAAGAGAGAGUUUUGCACGUAUUUGAGGAAGCUCCUAUAAGUUUUUGGUUUUUUGUGUUGUGAUUCGAACAAAUUUCGGUUUUUAUAUUUAUUAAUUUUUGUUGUGUGAGUAGUAUUUAUUAGGCUUGAUGUUUUUGAAACACCAGGUGGUUUGGAGACGUUUGAAAUCAUAAGAAGACUCAAAGAUUUCAGCUAGGUUUGAAUCAAAGCACCAAAUGAAUUCUUCUUCCAGGUGAUGAUUAAAUGUUCCCAACUUUUUUAGUUGUAUAAAGACUUGGGUAGAUAGGAAUUUGUUUUUACUCAUGUGUUUCACUAAUUCUUUGGUAAUAGAUAAAUCUUUGUGAACAGUCUUCUGCUUCUAUCAGUACCCAUGGUAAGUUCUUAUCAAUUUACUUUUAACAGUCAGGUCAUUUGGGACCAAAUGUUCUUUUUCAACUUAUGCUUGGUUUACUCUUCUUUUGCAGCCUAUUUUUUUCACACAUUUAGUCUUCAGUAGAUGGGCUAAGGAAUUCCCACGUGGCAUUGUAUCAAAUUAUCAUUGAUCGAAGGGUAUGGCUUUGUAAGAUCAUCUUCUGUUCACUUUGAUCAAAUUAUUUGUCAACCGUUUUAGUUUUUUAUAAUUAUGAUAUUAUUUCUUAUUUGGCCUUAAGAUUAGUGGACUUAAACUUUGUUUAUUAUCUUUGCAGUAAGAAGAGAUAACAAUAUUAACUUGAUAGUAAAUGGUCCGUUCUUUUUAUUUCUUUUUUUGGUUGCAAUGUCCAUACUUAGUGUAAUUUGUACCUUAAGUUUUACCUUUGUUCCAUAAUAAAUGUGUAAAGAUGACCAUGUUGUACAUUACAUAGUUUGGGAAUUAGACUAAGUAUUUUGAUCAAUCAGAUUAAAUAUAUUUUAGCUUUUCUUACGUCUUAAACUGACACACCCCGUCCCGAAGGAGGGCAUGCUGGCCGUCACGUGAGAGUGACGUAACCAUUUGCACAGUACGGAAGCUUUAAGAUACAAUUUAUAAGUUGAUACACCCGAAGGUGAGUCCUAAUUUUGUCCAAUCUGUCAGAACACCGUCGAAUUCCUCGUAGUCACCACACCUUUGUGAUUCCUGAACCUGGAGGGGCGCAAAACCAAAAUUGAGUGGGUCAGUAAAACAAUUCUUUUUCCAAAUCCAAACAUUUCUCAAAACGUUGUAACCCCUCUCCGUAAAACCUGUAUACUUUCCCAGAAAUGUAAAAUAUAAAUAUACAUAUAUAUUCUCAAGACUUCAAGUCGUUAACUCAACAUUUUCAUAACAAUUAUGCCAUGCCACAUCAUCUCAACAUUUCUCAUAUUAAUUAUGCCAUGCCACAUCAUCUCAACAGUAAUAAGGUAUGAAUGCAUCAACAUAAUCAUAUCAGGUGCAAGAAAGUAAUCAACCGUAGGCCCUCUAAUAGCCCUGUACGGUUGAACCUAGAGCUCAAAAUCUAUCAUUAUCACUCUACCGGAGUCACCUCUGUGACCCGUCCGGCCUUCUGCACGCAAGUUACGCUCUAGUGCUUCUCAUAAAUCAUCUGUGCACAUAAUCUAAGGUCACCCACCAGUCGGAAUCUCACUAAACACUCUCGCGACUGGUCUGUUCGUACCCACUCCGCGUGACUGUACGACUAGCAUCUACUUGGAUCCAAGGCGAGCGUGCGAUGCGGUGAAUACUAUAAGCACUAAACUAUGGUGCAGGAUUUGAGCUCAAUAUACAUCAACAUCAUCAUAACAGAAAUAAAUACUCACAUGUGCGUCCACCGCACCAUUUCAUACAUAUGCAUCAUAAAUCAAUUCUUACAUGUGCGUCCACCGCACCAAUUCAUACAUAUGCAUCAUAAAUCAAUUUCUUACAUGUGCGUCCACCGCACCAAUUCAUACAUAUGCAUCAUAUAUUAAUUCAUGCAUGGCAUUUCAACUCACAUUUCUAUAUACUUUUCAUAUCAAUUCUAUGCAUGGUAUUUCACUUUCCCGUUUUUCCACAUAACUCAUAUGCAUUUCAUUUUUAAACAUAUUUUCAUUUCAAUUCAAUUUCUGGGAAACGUCAAGUAUAUAUAUAUACGGAAAACAAAACUGCCCACUCACCUGGAGUUCGUCCAACAACUCCCUAGCACCACACAUCAAGGCGUCAUGACGAUCGCUGCCUAGAAUAGUAAUCAAAUCCAGGCUCAGAAUUCAUAUCGAUAGAAUACAUAACUUAUAUAAAAUACGUCACUACGUUGAUCGAUCCGGAAGAUCUGCCACUCAGAUUUUAAAUCCAUAACUUCCAGAGGUCCACAUUAUACCUUUAGGACAACAUCCUAAAAUUUCAUUACCAUCCAACGGUCGGAUCUCCGUCAAUUUCCAAAACUAAGUGACGGUUAACAUUUUAUAUUAUGGACUUACAAUUCCAAUUCCGGAAGAUCCGUAACUCGGAUUCCCAAUCCGUAAGUUCCAAUAAUCCUCAAAUAUUACGUAUUACAACGUAUCAAAGUUUGGUGACGAUCCAACGGUCGGAUCAUCAAUUCACAUUUUCACCUAAAUGUGAAAACUAAAAAACGUUAUUUGAACACCUAACCAACAAUCCUCAAUAACUUUCUCAUACGGUGUUCAAUUUAGGUAUAUGAAUAUACCACAGUGAUCUACUCGACGUCACGGACGUCGACAUAUUUUUAAAAUAAUUUUAUUUUUAUUUUUUAUUUUUACUGUAGCACCUUCUUCUUCCUUGGGUCGCCGGACUGGUUUUUCCGGCGGCCGUUUUCCGGGCAGUUUUCAAAUUGCCAUAACUUUGUCAUUUCUCAACGAAAUCAAGUGAUUCAAAAACGAAAGUUGUAGCCCUUGAAGAGACAAAGAGAAUGGUACCUUGCACAACACCUAGUUCGCCGUGGUUUGGCCGGAAACUGCCUCGAAAGCUCCGGCCAAACUUUGAACUUGUCGAUCUCCGUGUUCUUACGUCCAAAAACUUCCAACAAAGCACUCCGAGCUUCCUUGGGACCUUACUAAACUCGCUGUGAUCUUGUUUUAGCCUAAAACGUAACCAAUUCAAAGCUCAUGAACAGUACACUUUCAUGGGGAGUUUAGAAUCUAGGUUUUCCGAAGUAAAACUUACCUGAAAUGGAUACCAACGUGAUCGUGAAGUCCUCAGGAUUCCAAUGGUGGUCUCAAACUUGACGUUGGUAUAGAUUUAGGGUGGUUUUGGUGGUGGUCCGAGUGAGUUCGAAGGAGAGAGACAGAGAGAGUGAGAAAUCGUGAAGGAGGAGAGAGAAAGACAGUGAACGGGAAAUGAGGAGGGUUUUGAGGGAUGUGGGGAUCCCACGUGGUCCUUAUUCCAAUCUCCAAACACCAAACUUUAACAUUUUAACCUAAAAAUCUAAAUUCCAUUUUAUUUUCAAACUUAGGAACCUAGAUAAUUAGCAACCUGAGCUUCACAAAUUUAGUAUUUCUUAAGGGCAAUUUCGUCCAUUCACAGCCACGAAUAUAAUAAUUUGGAACGGGCUGUGACAUAAACUGUCAAGAUAUAAACUUACGGGUCGUUUACAUAAAAUUCACAAAUCAUGACGUCAAUUGCAAGUUAGCAUAUGAUCACGUGAUGCAUAGAGGAACUAAGAAUUAAUGGACAAUUUUAUGUAUUGGUGCUUAAAUUUCCAAGAAGACGAUGAGCUCCAUUUUCUUUUAAAUCUAGAUCAAAGCUAGAUUAACCUCUCAUAUGGUACGUAAAUUCAAUUUGCAAAGAAAGCAAUCAAUGCUUCUUCUUUUGGUUUUUUGUUUUUUUUGUUUUUGUUUUUUUUUAACAAUAAUACUAGAACAAGAAUAACAGGUUUAAUCCUUUGAAUGUCAUUAAAAUUUUAUCUCCGAUAUAAAAAGGUUUUUGCCAAUUGUUAUUUUUGAAGGUUAUGACAAUUUAUGACAUCAUCCGGUGUUACUAUUGGAGAAGAUUGCUGAUCAAAAUAAUAGGUACCUUGCAGUUUUCUUUGAAGUAUCUUAUUAAAUUUAUUUAAAAACUGCAAAAAUUACUCAAUUUCUUUAGCAAGUAUAAAAUCGUUCUUCUUUAACAUUCUUAUUUAUUUGUACUAACAGCUUCUAUUUUUUCAAAUCAUAACAGAGAAGCAUGUACAUCAUCACAAAUAAAACAAAAAAAUUGUGAAGCGACAAUCAAUAAAAUUUUCAGGUACUAAUUAUUAUGUGUAUAAAUACAAUUUUAAAUUAUAAUACACCUAAUAUGAAUGCACAUGUUUUACGUUUUUUAAACCCACAACGUGUGGGCACUAUUACUAGUAUAUACUAAAGCCGAAUGGGAAAAGCACUGUUCCACCGUACAGCUAAGUGGCGAAAUUACCCCUUUUACUGAGCAAAUCUUCUUCUUUACCUCACUUGCACAGUGAAUUGACCAGUUUGCCCAUCUUUGAUAAGCGUUGCCCAGUGAAUACGUGGCUCACUCUCCUCAUUCGUUCUCAUCCUGUUUCUUACUGCACUGCUUCCUCUGCAGUUUGAACCGCUUCCUUUUUGCUUCACUUCUAACCGAAACCAAAAACAGCUCAACCAAAUCAUCUCCUCCCUCGCUCACCGCAUCUCUCUCUCAAGCUCGCAAUCACUGCAAAAAAACUCAAACCAAGAAAUCCAUUUCCACAAUUUCUCUUACAGUCACCGCUUCUCUCUCGCUCACCGCUUCAUCGUCAACAAAUCCCAACCGCAGCCCCACUACAAACCCAUCUGGAUGGAAAACCCAUCGAGAAAUCUUGGUCGUCGGCCUACACCCGGACUGCAACGUCGUUUUGACUCACCCCAGCGUCGGCAAAUUUCGACAUAAAAAGUGAUUCUUUUCAACAUAUUUGUAUAAAUUCGUUCAUGCACUUGAAAUUUUAUGUUUGAUUAGUGUAUGUUUUCAUAAUUAGAUCAUAUCAAGCUCCAUUCAUGCCCACUUCCCGUCUUCUUGAUAAAGUUUGUUUGUUUUUAGUUGAGUGUUUGGAUUAGUUUCUUAGGGUUAGAAUGGAAGAAAAUGAAGAGAACUUGGAGAUGUGAUUGACGGCUUCAAGGCUGUGCAAAAUGCAGCAGCCAUAAGUUCAUUAAGUAAUGGAAAUCUUGUAGGGUAUGGUGCAUUGCCAACAUCCAUACUUCCUUAAGGGAGUGAUUGACAAGAGACUUAAACAACCCUUUCAUCCGUACUACUCUAGAUUAAAUCCUAGCCCUUCAUUUGGGUUUUAAGUGAUGUAAUCUGAAGUGUACACUUGUCACUUACACACACAUACAUUUAAACUAAAAAACUAGCCGUUGGAGGCUAAAACCCUUUCUUCUUUCUUCUUCGAUGCAGACCGAAACCAUGCUCGGGAGCUCCUUGCUGCCUUCGAUCCCUCGACUUCAGAAGCUGUUUAGCUUCCAACACUUCUGUCAAUGGCGACAACAGAGGCUAAGCCUGAAGCCAAAUCAAAACCAAAAGAAAUUGAAGAGAGUUCCGAAACUCUUCUCAAAUGCAAGGUAAUUAAAACUUGAAAAAAAAAAUUAUGAGCACCAAUAACAAAAGAUUAUGACUUUCACAUGUUUAUAACAUCUUCUAAUUCUGUACUAAAAUUGAAAUUGUGAAUCCUUAUAAACAAUCCUCAGGGAAGGCAUCUUCCCGGUAUGCUUCGCCACAAGCAGUUGUAUUGAAGCUGGAAGAUGGGACGGGUCUUCUCUUCCCCUCACAAUCUGAAAAUGCCUAAUAAAGAGUGAACGCUGCCAAUCUUUUGAUAACUAUGAACUUAUGUACAAAAAUUUAGCUUCCAAGCAUCUCUAUCUUUUGUAUUGGUAUAUGGUCCAGCCCAUGAUGAAUGUUCUAGAUUAUUCUAGUAAGCAAGUGAGGUGGCCAGAGCAUGCUAGACAAUUCUAGUAUGUUAUCAAGUUGAUGGAAGAAGCUAGAAAGUACUAGCUUCCUUGGUUGCAAAUGGAAAGAUCCAUGCACAUGUUAAAGAAUUCUAGCAAAGUUCAAGUUGGUGGAAGAGUUUAGAAGAAUUGUGAAGAUUCCACCAACAUACAAGAUUAGUGUGGAUAAUUCUAGUUUAGGAAGGUAGUGGAAUUAUCUAGAUAUCUCUAGCAUGAUGUUUCCAUGCUUCUUCAAGGUUCCAUCCAUGCCUAUAAAAGGAGAAGGCAUCCACACCAUUUGUAUGAACCAACCAAUCAAGAGAGUAGUGAGUAGCAAAUGAUCAAAUCCAAAGCUAGAGUUCCACUCCAAGAGUGAGAGUGUUCCACUACACAUUGUGUGAGUGAAGUUUAGAGUGAUAGAAAGUAUGUGUCAUACUUUCUUGUAUCCAUCAAGCCUUGUUUUUGGUUUGGUAAGACUACUCUUGUUGUACUCAUAUUUUCCAUAUAGUGAAGAUUGAUCCUGGUUUGGUGGACGUAGGCAUAAAUUGUCGAACCACAUAAAAUUUUUGGUGUCCAUUUUCUACUUUACGUUGUGCAUUCUCUAUCUUGUAGUACCGACAUUCCUAACAUUUUGAACAGUGAGCACUUAAACACUCUCAAUCUUUUGAUGGCUAUGAACACUGCCAAUUUCUAUAAAUCUAGGUUCAAUAAUUUAUGUUUUCUGUAUGUAUAUAUUAUCAAAAUAUGUUGAGCACUCGCAGCAACGCGCAGAGCACUUUUGUUAGUGAUUAUUAUGAAACGAAUUAUUGUAGGAGAAGAUAAGAUAAGGCUACAUGAUUUUUGGAGUUUUUUUAUAUUAAUUUGUGAAUUAAAUGAUAAAUUAAGUAAAUGAAAUAUUAAAAAUUAAUAAAAGAAUGUUUGAUCAAAAGCCUAAAAAUCAUAACAAUUAGUAUUACGGUCUACUAGUAUUUCUCGCUAAACUCAUCAUAUCGAUUGGUAAAACAAAAAAAAAUGCCAAAAGCUAUAGACGUUUGAUAUAAAAAAUUCAAAAUUGAACCUACUAUAUCAAAACGCCUCUUAUUAAUUACUUGGAGAGCCGAAGCGUUACAACAACAGAGACUAAUACAAGGAAUCCCUCGGCCACAAGGCUUACAAACAGCUUAAAAGAUGAGAAUACAAACAAUAAGGAGCUCAAAUUCUUAAUUUUUCAUUUCCAACUUUUUUUUUUUUGCUACUCCAACCUGUAGUUCCUCCCGACUUGAUGGUCUCGACAUCCUGAGCAUACAGCAGGCUGAUCCCACACUUUUUCACCGUUGAUGGGACGCUGAAGUGGGCAUACACAGUGUAGAACUCAAAACAGAACUCAGUGACAAGUUUGUAAAAAGAAGUGGAGCGAUUUAAAUUUGCUCCCUCUCCAAGUGCAAACGCACCAUACCACACAAAUAUGGUACCGGAAUGAAAAUAAGUAAACCGUCUCCCAUCUUCAUUAAAAGGAUAAUGGGAAGGAUAAAUGGCUUUAUGGCUUUCACCACUAUUAGUUUUAAAAUUGCACGAGCAUCCAAGCAUCAGAUCUUUAGAAUCAACCUUGCCACGGAGAACAACAGAUAGAGCAAAACCCAAAAAAUCUGUACAAUACCAAUUUCGAGGAAGCUUGAUAGUUAUCGCAGAUCCUUCAUUUUGAUGGCAGAACCAAUUUGGGAUUUCAUUUCCUGGACAUACAGUGCUAACAGAGACGGUGCUACCUAAAGUCCGACAAGUGGUAGGGAUAGAUGAAGUCAUUGCCUGUAACAUCGAUGCAUGGAAAUCAAAUAAAUUAUUCAAUACGUGAAAAAAUUGCAUAAAAGAGAUAUGAAAGUGUGUGCUAGUGCGUGCGUGGGUGAGAGAGAGAGAGAGAGAGACCAUGACAAUUUCUUCUUCUUUAUGUUGCUGAGUUUUCAAUGGCCCAGUUGCCACUCGCAUAAUUCUUAACUGUGUGUCAGCCAUUAUAUUAGUCCUUGCAUUUUCAUCCAAGUUUCGGCAAUCAACAAAGUUAAAACGCCCUCGAAACAAUUCAUAUUUAUCCCAAGCUUGUGUGAGUGAAUUUCUUGAACUUGAAACUGUCUUCAGUGAAGUGCAGCCACUUGCUUCAAGAUAACAUAGCACUGGUAGCUCUGGUAAGAAUUUUAGACUUCUGCAGUUUCCCAGAUUCAGCCACCUAAGCUUGUCAAGAUCUUUAAAAUAAGAAGGAAUUCGAACCAAUCUAAAACAGCCAUAAAGCACUAUAUGCUCAAUUCUUUUACUGCGAGAGAGAUCUGGAACUUCAGUCAGAUGCGUGCAAAAACUUAGUUCAAUCACUUUUAAGUUCCCAAGAUUCUGUAACAAAUUUAAGAAAAAUGGAAAGAAGAACAUUAUUGACUUCGGCCGAAUAGGUUUCCAGAGGCACCAUAGUUUAUACAAAGAACAAAAGUUAGCAUAUAUAUACUUCUAUAAAAAAACAUAUAAACAAGAAGAGGAAGCAUAUAUAUACCUGGUUUUUACUCCAAAGUUUUGCCACAACAAAGCUGCCGGGCAUUCGAAGCUCAACAAGAUUUUGUGGAGAAAAAUUUGAUGGAAGAGAUUUCAACGGGUAUCCCAGCCAGUAAAGAUACCUGAGAGAAUUGGGAAGAGACUGAAGACCUUGAGAAAGGUCCAGAAUGUUGUUGUACCUCUUGCCAAAGCGAGGAACUUUAAAGAAUUUCACCAAUUCUGUACCAAACUGAAUGCUAUAGUUGUACACGACUCUUAGAUGAGGAUCAUGAAUCAUCAACAAUCCUAAAUUAGACAUCUUCUUGAAGGGUGAUCCACAUAAUUCCAACCGUGUAAUGUUAGACGUGUCAAAGGAUAUGCAUUGAACCGUUGAAGUUCCCUGGAAAUCAAGAGAAAAUAGUAUAAUGAGAAUAAAUGUACAACAAAGAUUACGAAAAACUACUUUUGUUGACAAAUGCUUAUACAAAAUGAGUUUCCUUGGUUCCGUCAUAGAAAGUUCAUGAUUUUUGGUUCUCACCGUAUCAUUCUCCAGUACUUGACAGACAUCAUCAGCAGCCCACAACCUAUUACGUUUUCCUGGCUCGUCCCUGCAUUGUUCCUGAACAAUUGUCCGGCCCAUUUCUUGCACCAAAUCAUGCAUCUCUAAGCAAUUCGUCUCUGAAAUUGAUAUGAGAGACUUGUCAAUGAGAAUUUGGAUUCCCGUCACGAAGAAACCCCGAAUAUCUAAUAUACUUUUUGCAUAAUAAACAUCUUCCCCUUUCAGAAAGCAUGCAAUGUCAAGAAAGCAUUCCUUCUCAUUUUCUUCUAAUCCAUCAUAACUAAGUCUCAACACAUUUUGAAUUUUUUCGCUAGGAAAUUUUUUCAAUCUGUUCAAUUCUUCAUCCCAGUCUUCUUCUGUAUCGCAGCGACGGAAUAAGGCACCCAAAGUUUUAAGAGCCAAUGGAAUGCCUUGAAUAUAAUCUAUCACCUUUCUUGAAAACACCGUAUAAACUGUCGUAGGAGACUUAUUUUUCAGAGCAUGCAAAUGAAAGAGCUGAAGAGCGUCACUAUGUUUCAAUCCCUUGACCUCGUAAAUUUUGUCAUCAACCACCGUUUCAUUGAGUACGCUUCUAUCUCGAGUUGUUAUAAUGAUUCUACUUCCGACACCAAACUUAAGAUCAUCUCCAGCUAGAAGUUCUAAUUGCCUUGAAUCAUUCACGUUGUCAAGAACAAUGAGUACCUUUGUACGACUAAGCCUCUCUUUAAGAAGCUCUGAUCCUAUAGAUGGAGUGUCAAUAUUUGUAUUUUCAUCACCUAAAAUCUUAGAGAGAAGUUUAUUUCGUAAGUUAUAUAUUCCGUCUUUUCCUUCGGAAUUUUCUCUAACAUUUUUAAGAAAACAACAAGCUUCAAACUUGGAAGAGAGUCGGUGAUAUACAACAUCAGCAAGGGUGGUCUUGCCAAUACCACCCAUGCCCCAAAUACCUACAAUGCAAACAUCCGAUGAAUCAAGGCAUAGUAACGAUUCAAUUUGCUCAACUUUGGUUUCAAUUUCAACUAGGCCCUUUAAAUUACUUGAGCAAUCCAAUUUGUUCAAUAUAACUUGGACAAGUUUCUCAAUGGAAUCGGCUUCUGUCCUGGAAAUUACAAAUAAUCACGAAGGAAAAAUAGUUACCGAGUCCUGCAUUAAUGAAUCUUGUUGGAAACAAAUGGUCACAAGUAAAAAAUUCUGCAAGAGGUGCAAAGUUAGUUACCCUGCUUUGUUUGAAUUGUCAUAACCAGAUAGGUUGGCAGCUUUCUCCAAAGCAUCCCUCCACUUAAGCACCUUGUCCAUACAGUCCUUGAAACGUUCUUCAAGCUUGGCAAAUGCAACUGCAUAACUCCCCUGCUGUUU